CUGACUUGUCUCCGCUCUCAGUCUUGUUUAUGUCUUCGUCUAGAUUAGCCCCAGCUGCUAUAAUAACCCUUAAUACUCUAAAACUCAUGCACAGACACACAGCAAUAACCCUGUGCAGUGGUAGUGGUGUGAGCUUGCAAAGGGCUGCUGCACCGCUAUAAUGUCAGUGUGAAGCAGGCUGCCAGCGUAUGUGGAGGGAUUCAGAUGUCUCUCAGCAUGAUUUAGAUCUUUUGGUUUGUCUCUUUUUGAUGUCCAGCAAAAGUCCUGUUAAACAAACCAACCUCAGCCAAAAUGACAAGAAUGCUAAAAGAACAGUAAAGCAGUCUUUGGUUCCUGGUUUCACUGAGCUGCACAGUGGUCUGCUUCCUGAGACAACUGUUGGGAAUCUGGGCACCAACCUGGGAUCAGGGACCAACAACAAAACCACAACAGUCUCAGAAAAGAUUUAGUCUUGUGUUACACAGUACACAAGUAACCACAACUGACCCUAUUGAAAUUGCAACCUUGCAAAGUGCUUAAUUAAUAGUUUUAAACUUGAUUUUACAAAUUCACCGGUGUGAAAUGUGUAACGGUGGUCAUCAUCUAAAUUGAGAUUUCUAUGUUGAAAAACCAAAUAGUUAUUGACGAUUUGAAAUGGAUUGAAUUUAACUCUGUGCUCCCUAACUCCACCUACAGUAACAGGCGCAUUGGACAGACAUUCAGGUCUUGCUCUGCAAACUGCAUCGUCUUUGGUGAUUUUGAGUUGAUCAAAACUGUGAAACGUCUGCCUAAGUGAGCUGUCCAAAAUAUCACACAACUGGGAGAAAUUGAGGCAUUGCCAUGGAGAUAUUGAAGGUAAUGGCUGCAAAAAAACGACGAAUGUUAAAUAUUAAACUAACUCCACCCAGUUACCAUACACAAGGCUUACUAUAUUACUUUUUGACAAAUUUUGGCAUCCACUUGGCACCGGCGUAUCGGGUUUAGUGAUAUCCCUAGUGGGAUGAUGGAAGGACCUUAAACAAAGGGAUAGGAACCCAGAUGAAGGACACACACUACCUGUCCUCACCAAGAUAGUGUGAAGCACAGCUGAGUUAGGUUGCCACGCUGUGUGUGUGUGUGUUUGUGAAUUCUGAGUAACCCUGUCAUUUCAGCAGGGAGCCACAGAUAAUUCUGUCUCUCUCUGUCUUUUAGUGUGUUCACAUGUUAAGCUAAUAAUUUGAUUACAGCCAGAUUAACCUCUGGAAUCCCACACACUCAGUCUUAGUAGGUUCCUAAUUACAGACUCUUGCUCAGAGCCACAGACCCGACGACAAUUAAAACAUUUUUGGUCCAAAAUGUGUUUCAAACUAUCCACAAGACAGCUUGACUUUCCAUUUAAUGUAACACUGUAACAACUGUAAAAUAAACUGUAAAAAUCUU